GACGGAGGAUGCAAGUGUUAUCCGGAAUCACUGGGCGUAAAGCGUCUGUAGGUGGUCAAAUAAGUCAACUGUUAAAUCUUGAGGCUUAACCUCAAAAUCGCAGUCGAAACUAUUAGACUAGAGUAUAGUAGGGGUAAAGGGAAUUUCCAGUGGAGCGGUGAAAUGCGCAGAUAUCAGGAGGAACACCGAUGGCGAAGGCAGGUCUCUGGGCUGUAACUGACGCUGGAGGAGCGAAAGCAUGGGGAGCGAACAGG
rnacentral:rRNA from 1 species